UUUUGUAUAGUUUAAUUCUUUUAGUAUUACUAUUGUCAUAUUAUCAUUAUCAUUAUUUUUCAUUCCUUUCUGUCCUAUUAAACUGUCUUUAUCUCAACUCACGAGGUUGUUUUUUUUUUUUUUUCCUGAUUCUCUCCCCCAUCCCAGGGGUGGGGGGGCAGUGAGCGAGCGGCUGCGUGGUGCUUAGCUGCCGGCUGGGGUUAAACCACGACAAGUACAAAGGCUGGAGCAGCUCCGACCUCCCUGCUGGAGGGAGUAGAGGAAGGUCAGCAGUGGAGACGAGACAGGAUCGGAACUGUCAAGAAACUCUUAGCCUGUCACCACCCCGAGGACACCCUGGGCAGGACAAUCUGAGGAUGCCAACCUACUUCUGCCCACCGCCGGGGCAAUGCUGUGUCUCAGCGUGGACUGAAAAGCCUUGAGCCGGUUGGUAAUGGAGCCGGGAGUGCUGAAAUUGGCGCGCUUCCAGACAUUUGCACCCAACGCCUUUCCCUUGGACCAAGCGCUCCUGGAAGCUGGAAAUCCCAAGUUCAGCAGCGCUUUCUCCAUGAGUUCGGACUGGGAAGCUGGCGUGGAAAAGCCCAUUUUCCUUUGAGCAUGCGGCGGUGACCACAGGAGCAUCCUGGCAAAGCCCUGGGACGGAGAAGAACCUAGCUGGUCCCUUGCGCUGUG